GGCGAACGCUGGCGGCGUGCCUAAUACAUGCAAGUUGAGCGCUGAAGGUUGGUACUUGUCCCAACUGGAUGAGCAGCGAACGGGUGAGUAACGCGUGGGGAAUCUGCCUUUGAGCGGGGGACAACAUUUGGAAACGAAUGCUAAUACCGCAUAAAACCUUUAAACACAAGUUUUAAGUUUGAAAGAUGCAAUUGCAUCACUCAAAGAUGAUCCCGCGUUGUAUUAGCUAGUUGGUGAGGUAAAGGCUCACCAAGGCGAUGAUACAUAGCCGACCUGAGAGGGUGAUCGGCCACAUUGGGAAUGAGACACGGCCCAAACUCCUACGGGAGGCAGCAGGAGGGAAUCCUCGGCAAUGGACGAAAGUCUGACCGAGCAACGCCGCGUGAGUGAAGAAGGGUGUCGGAUCGUAAAACUCUGUUGGUAGAGAAGAACGUUGGUGAGAGUGGAAAGCUCAUCAAGUGACGGUAACUACCCAGAAAGGGACGGCUAACUACGUG
rnacentral:rRNA from 1 species